rnacentral:rRNA from 1 species
UGGGGAAUAUUGGACAAUGGGCGCAAGCCUGAUCCAGCCAUGCCGCGUGAGUGAUGAAGGCCUUAGGGUUGUAAUGCUCUUUUUGGCGGGGACGAUAAUGACGGUACCCGCAGAAUGAGCCCCGGCUAACUUCGUGCCAGCAGCCGCGGUAAUACGAAGGGGGCUAGCGUUGUUCGGAAUUACUGGGCGUAAAGCGCACGUAGGCGGAUCGGCAAGUCAGGGGUGAAAUCCCGGGGCUCAACCUCGGAACUGCCUCUGAUACUGCCAGUCUAGAGUCCGGAAGAGGUGGGUGGAAUUCCUAGUGUAGAGGUGAAAUUCGCAGAUAUUAGGAAGAACACCGGUGGCGAAGGCGGCCCACUGGUCCGGUACUGACGCUGAGGUGCGAAAGCGUGGGGAGCAAACAGGAUUAGAUACCCCUGUAGUCCCUGAGCGGGCUGGCAAGGCGCAU